AUCUAAAGUGAUUCCCUUUCCAAGGGGCCUGCUUGUGCCCCUCUUCAGGAAAGUAGCAACUUGGAAUAAAUCUGGCAUGCCUUAGGCUGUUGGGGGAGAAGGGAUGUUUUUCCCUUUGCCUUCCUUUGGCUACCUACACAU
rnacentral:snoRNA from 1 species